rnacentral:rRNA from 1 species
CCUACGGGAGGCAGCAGUGAGGAAUAUUGGUCAAUGGCCGUAAGGCUGAACCAGCCAAGUCGCGUGAAGGAAGAAGGAUCUAUGGUUUGUAAACUUCUUUUAUGGGGGAAUAAAGGUAUCCACGUGUGGAUAUUUGCAUGUACCCUAUGAAUAAGCAUCGGAUAACUCCGUGCCAGCAGCCGCGGUAAUACGGAGGAUGCGAGCGUUAUCCGGAUUUAUUUGGUUGAAAGGGUGCGUAGGUUGUUUGUUAAGUCAGCGGUGAAAGUUUGGGGCUCAACCAUAAAAUUGCCGUUGAAACUGGAAGACUUGAGUGUGUUUGAGGUAGGUGGAAUGCGGGGUGUAGCGGUGAAAUGCAUAGAUAUCACGCAGAACUCCGAUUGCGAAGGCAGCUUACUGAGCCAAAACUGACGCUGAGGUACGAAAGCGUGGGGAUCAAACAGGAUUAGAUACCCGGGUAGUC